AUCUCAGUUGGUAGAGCAUGGUGUUUGCAACGCCAGGGUUGUGGGUUCGAUUCCCAC
rnacentral:tRNA from 1 species